CGUUUGCUUGAUCGUGUGUUUUUGUGUUUGCUGUUAUGAAGUGGGUCGCGGUUAGCGUGCACAGAAGUGCCUGAAGAUACCUUGUGUCAUGCUGCAAACUCGCCGUAUGCGUGGCGCGCCAGGCAAAUGUGGCCCAACGAUUUUAUGCCGUGGAGUGCGGCCUCUUUCUUCCUCGUUGAGAAAAGUUGGGUGGACGUCGCAAAGAAAUAAUGCGUGUUAGCGCGCCUCAGCUCGUCCACUACGCAGCGGCAUGUAUGCGGGGAGUAACAUCGUCGACGCAGCACCGGCAACUUGGAGAGCGCUUUGCGACCGCGUAGUACCAUUCAAAAGUGGCGAGGCUGUGACCCACAACAGUGCCCACAUAACGGAGGAGCCACCAGACCCCUUGGCUAUGCCUGCCGUAGUGCAACGUGUAAUCUGGAUGGUCGGGUCAGGUUACCGCAUUAUUGACUUGGAAACCAGUGAGGUCUGGAUGCAAGUGAAGCUACCAAGGGA